CCUCACUAGCCAACAACUCCAAAAGAAGUAACCCGUUCCCAGAAUAGGGUCAGCCUUUUUACUUGUUAGAUUGGGCUCUCUAAUAGUGGCAUUGUUGCUCCAGUAUAAGAUUGUCCUGGAGGGAUUUUCCUUUAAAAGAAAAGUGAAAAUUGUAACUCAUUCAGUUCAUGCAUUAUCGAUGGAUAUUCGUGAAACGGUCAACGAAAUCAGUACCAUGACAUAGACGUUUAGUGAACUCUACUUCUAGCAAGAGGGUGAAGAAUAUAGAAAAUGCACAAAUUCAUAUGUUAACAUGUAUUUACGCUGAAGAUGGAAGAUUAACGAAUAGAGGGUCUCUUUGAGGGAUGACUGAACUACCAAUCUUCAAUAGUGUUACUUCAGACCAGUCACAUCAGAUGAAGAAGGAAGAAGCCACCUGGAAGAGGACACAGAAUUGGUCCUCUUUGUAGAACUGGGCAGUGAACAUGCAAGGAAAAAGUGUCACCAUUGUUCCCUUCAAGACAUCUUGCCAGGCUAUUCAUUCUUGCAAGUCGCAGGCUUUACAGGAUCUUCUGCCACAGAUGGGCCACAGGUGAACAUCGAGGGUGGGUCCCCCUCUGGAACCUUGUUGAAAUCUACUGCUGCUGUGUGCUGCACCCGGUAGAACUGACAUUUCAGAGGCAAGGAUAUCACACUCAGCUCUCAGGC